GCGCAUGGUGGAUGCCUUGGCAUCAGGAGCCGAUGAAGGACGUUGGAGCCUGCGAUAAGCCUCGGGGAGUUGGCAACCGAAUGUUGAUCCGAGGAUUUCCGAAUGGGGGAACCCGGCCGCCGUCAUGGGUGGUCACCCGCAUCUGAAUGUAUAGGGUGCGUGGAGGGAACGUGGGGAAGUGAAACAUCUCAGUACCCACAGGAAGAGAAAACAAACAGUGAUUCCGUGAGUAGUGGCGAGCGAAAGCGGAUGAGGCUAAACCGUGUCUGUGUGAUACCUGGUAGGGGUUGCAGGUGCGGGGUUGUGGGAGUUCACCGGAGCCGGCUACCGACGGUUCGAGGAGUAAGAAAGUCGUGCUGUAGUCGAAGGGCCUGGGAUGGUCCGGCGUAGUGGGUGAGACCCCCGUAGACGAAACAGUGUGGCCUCCUUGGGUGGGUGUCCCGAGUAGCACGGGGCUCGUGAAAUCUCGUGUGAAUCUGCCAGGACCACCUGGUAAGCCUAAAUACUUCCUGAUGACCGAUAGCGGACAAGUACCGUGAGGGAAUGGUGAAAAGCACCCCGGGAGGGGAGUGAAAUAGUACCUGAAACCGUGUGCCUACAAUCCGUCGGAGCAGGCUUGUACCUGUGACGGCGUGCCUUUUGAAGAAUGAGCCUGCGAGUUAGUGGUGUGUGGCGAGGUUAACCCGGGUGGGGAAGCCGUAGCGAAAGCGAGUCCGAAUAGGGCGUUUGAGUCGCAUGCUCUAGACCCGAAGCGGAGUGAUCUACCCAUGGCCAGGUUGAAGCGCGGGUAAGACCGCGUGGAGGACCGAACCCACCAGGGUUAAAAACCUGGGGGAUGAGCUGUGGGUAGGGGUGAAAGGCCAAUCAAACUUCGUGAUAGCUGGUUCUCUCCGAAAUGCAUUUAGGUGCAGCGUUGCGUGUUUCUUGCCGGAGGUAGAGCUACUGGAUGGCUAAUGGGCCCCACCGGGUUACUGACGUCAGCCAAACUCCGAAUGCCGGUAAGUGAGAGCGCAGCAGUGAGACUGUGGGGGAUAAGCUUCAUAGUCGAGAGGGAAACAACCCAGACCACCAACUAAGGUCCCAAAGACUACACUAAGUGGAAAACGUUGUGGGAGUGCAUAGACAGC
rnacentral:rRNA from 1 species